rnacentral:rRNA from 1 species
CUUGGUCAUUUAGAGGAAGUAAAAGUCGUAACAAGGUCUCCGUAGGUGAACCUGCGGAGGGAUCAUUACACAAUAUGAAAGCGGGCUGGAAUCCUUUGGGGUUUUACAGCCUUGCUGAAUUAUUCACCCGUGUCUUUUGCGUACUUCUUGUUUCCUUGGUGGGUUCGCCCACCAUAGGACAAACCAUUAAACCUUUUGUAAUUGCAAUCAGCGUCAGUAAAAAAAUUAAUAAUUACAACUUUUAACAACGGAUCUCUUGGUUCUGGCAUCGAUGAAGAACGCAGCGAAAUGCGAUAAGUAGUGUGAAUUGCAGAAUUCAGUGAAUCAUCGAAUCUUUGAACGCACAUUGCGCCCUUUGGUAUUCCAAAGGGCAUGCCUGUUCGAGCGUCAUUUGUACCCUCAAGCUUUGCUUGGUGUUGGGCGUCUUGUCUCCAGUUCGCUGGAGACUCGCCUUAAAGUAAUUGGCAGCCGGCCUACUGGUUUCGGAGCGCAGCACAAGUCGCGCUCUCUUCCAGCGAAGGUCAGCAUCCACAAAGCCUUUUUUCAACUUUUGACCUCGGAUCAGGUAGGGAUACCCGCUGAACUUAAGCAUAUCAAUAAGCGGAGGA